ensembl:lncRNA novel transcript
AGCUUCCUGGGGUGCGUAGCUGAAGGUAGCAGGGAGCAAAAAGAAUCUGAAGGGGAAGUGAACAAUGUAGAGCGUAUCUGUGCUGAAGACGUAAGGAGAGAGUGGAGGUCAGAAGCUGGCAUGGUCCCUGGUGCAUGUAUCAGCCGCUAAAGAAGUGGAGAGUAUGAACAUAAGCAAGAGGAAGUGAUGAGUAUCCCUUCCAGGAGAACUCUAAGAGGCAGUGAGUGAUUUGCUGGGCUCCCAAGCCCUCUGCUCUGAUGACAGCAAAGCCCCAAAUCAUGGUGCCUCCAUCAGUCGGGACCCCUCAGCAGAGCCAGCUUCACAGCUGGAGUGGAUGAAUCAGAACUUUCCCCAUGGGAGCAUUUAUAAAAAGGGGACACCCAGCGCAGAAGAUGUUUUCCAGGGAGAUCUCGGGGAGCCCAACAAGCCAAGAAGAGCAGAGCAAAGCAUUCCAAGGAAGGACUCUAAGUCUGCAACCGAGCACACACGAGGAUGGGAAUAGGGACAUCUGCUGCAUUUGGCUGUUGGAGAAACACAAGGAAAUCAUGGACAAGUGCCAGGUGUGGUGACA